AAAGAUGUAAAGCCAGCUCCAUAGAGGAAAGACAGCCUUUUAAAAAAUGGUGUUGGACCAAUUGCCAUAGCAACUUAUGAAGUUGGAAUUGAAGAACUCCAAAAGCCUUGGAAGAAUUUUCCCUAUCCAGAACCUAGUGCUAAACAUGAAGAUAAAAAAAUGAAGGAAAAAGAGCCAUGUGAAUUGGAACCUAAAAACACAGAAAAGGAACCACAUUCAAACCAUGUUUUCAAGGUAGAUGCCUGUGAAGGGACACCUGAAAAAAUUCAGAUGGCCAACAUCCACACAGGUAGAAGGAACAUGUUGGCUGGAAAGCAAGAGGCCAUGAUUGACGUCAUCCAGACAAAUCCCUGCCCUGAGGGCCCAAAGCUGGCCAGGCACUCCCAAGGCCACUGUGGGUAUCUGGAGGUUUUGGAGUCGGCUAAAGAAACUCCAGACCUAGGGGUCUCUAAGACAAGUUCCAUCUCGGAGGAGAUAUAUGAUGAUGUCGAGUACUCCAGGAAAGAGGUACCGAAGCUGAACUACUCUAGCUCAUUUGCCUCAAAUAGUGUUUAGAUGGAAAAGAAGCACUCAAAAGACUGCAGCAAUUCUUCAAGAAAGAAAAGGAUAGAUUUAAAAUAAAGAAAACCAAGUCAAAAGAAAACUUAAGAACUUAAGUCUCAGGAAGUUAUUAUCUAUGAUGAUGUAGACCUGAGUGAAAAAGAGUCGAAAGACGAAGAUAAACUGAAAAUGUGGAAGCCCAAGUUUCUGACACCAAAGGGAAAAAAAGAGAAAAACAGUGCUGAAGAAUCAGAAAGUUUCUCUCCUAGAAAUUUCUUCAAAACCAAGAAGCAAAACUUAGAAAAGAACAGAAUGAAAAGAGAAGAAAAACUAUUUAGAGAAAGGUUUAAGUAUGACAAAGAGAUUAUUGUCAUCAACACAGCAGUGGCCUGUUCCAAUAAUUCAAGAAAUGGAAUAUUUGAUUUGCCAAUAAGUCCUGGAGAAGAAUUGGAAGUUAUUGAUACCACCGAACAAAAUCUAGUGAUAUGUCGUAAUUCUAAAGGCAAAUAUGGAUAUGUGCUCAUUGAACAUCUAGAUUUCAAGCAUCAAAGUUGGUCACCUUAGAAAGAUCAAGAUCAAAUGCUAUGGACUGCACAAGGCAGAACUAGUCCCAAGAUCCUAGUCCCGCGUUACAUCAGUUUCAGUUUACAUGUCAAAAUUUUGAGAUGGUGGAAUCUGUGGAAACUUUCGUUCUGAACUUAAAAGAGAAAAAUAAAAACAAAUCCUCAACAUUUAGAUGUUGGUUUUACUCCUAAAAGGUUAUCUUUCAAUGUCUAUUUCAGUGUCUACUUCACUGCCAGUUCAAGAGAAUGUGAAACAGUAUGUGUUAGCAUUUGAGCACUUAUUUAAUGAGCCAUAUCCAAAGUUAGAAAUCAUGCCUUAUGGCACCUAGUCAGUUGUGCAGAUGGUUAGUUUGCUUCUAAUAUUAGUACAUGAGCAUUUGUAAUUUCUAGAUGUUGUGCAUUCAAACUUGGUAUAAUUUAAUUCUGAACAGUAAACAGUGUAACCAAGGUCUUUUAAAUACUCAAAUUUAAGGUAUAAUCUUAAUUAAUUAUGGCUCAGUCUUUAAAAAAGUAUAAAUGUCCUUUCACUUUAUCACAAAAAUAAACUCAUAUGAAUACUGUUCCACAUUUGUUUCUUUUGGGAAUAGUUUGCUGAAAAAUAAUUUAUUCCUAAAUUCACCCAUCAUUUUAAGUGCCCAAAUGUACUUAACAAAAUAAUAUAUAUGCUGUAUUACUUUAAAACACCUUUUUGUCCAAAAUAAGAACGCUUGUCAUUAUUUUGUCUAUGCCCAAAUAACUAUUCAAAUAAUAGCAUUCAUAUGUACUUUCAUUUAUAUGGAAUUAAAUAAAAAUUUAAAAGCUG
rnacentral:sRNA from 1 species